rnacentral:tRNA from 1 species
GAGAUAAGUUAUUCAAGAAAGGGCUUCUAACCUUUUUCUCAAGCGGUGAAAUCCCGUUAUUAUCUCA